AAAGUUCAACGUUAUAUAUUUCGAGUGCAAAAUGAUAAUUUAAAGGAUAAAGGUGUUGCAGUUAUAUUAACGAUAAUUAGUUAUUUAUUUCAAAAUGGCAUUGCGAGGCGUGAAGGUGAUUGAAUUUGCUGGACUAGCUCCUGUGCCUUUCUGUGGAAUGAUUUUAUCUGAUUUUGGUGCCAAAGUGAUCAGAAUUGAUAGGCCUCAUGCAUUUGACCUGGACAGGCAGGGAAGAGGGAAGCGCUCAAUAGCAAUUGAUAUGAAGAAGAAGGAGGGUCUCAGAAUCGUUAAACAGCUGUGUGCUGAUGCUGAUGUCCUUAUUGAACCUUUCAGAGCUGGGGUUAUGGAAAAGCUUGGUUUGGGGCCUAAAACUCUUCUGAGUGAAAAUCCUAGACUCGUUUAUGCCAGGCUGACUGGAUAUGGACAAAAUGGACCGAUGUCUACCAGGGCAGGCCAUGAUAUCAAUUACAUAGCCACAUCAGGUUGGGUUCCCAUUCAAUGGUUACCAGUAUGUGUAUUACAUUGUUAGCUAGGUUAACUGAAACUUAGACUGCUAGGACUCUACUUCAUUUAUGUUAUGAUAUAAAUAUUGAAAUUGUCAUUAAUUUGUUACUUCAUAUUGAUAACAUGUAAAAUAGUAGAACUAUUGAUGUAAAUGGCAGGGGUCUGAUUCCUUGUUCGUUUACAUAAUAAUGAUACAAGACAAUUAAAUAGAAUGAAAUGGUUACAAUAAUAUUUUACUGCAAAUCAACAUUUAUUUCUGACAACUGUAUUUGGUGAUUUAAUGGACAAAAACUGGUGUGUCACGACAAUUUUUUUGCAAUCAAGACUUAUCUAUACCAGUGUUGUUAUUACACUCAGUGACAUGUGGCAAGGACUAGCUGGUUUGCAGGAAAAAAUGAAUGAAGAGACUCUAGCAAACCUCAUGAAAAUAUGAUUUCUUCUGUCUGUUUUAGGGGUACUCUCCUAUCUGGGAAGAAAGGGAGAGAAGCCACAUGCUCCUGUUAACCUGCUAGCAGACUUUGCUGGUGGAGGCAUGACCUGUGCUUUAGGAAUUGUAAUGGCCUUGUACGAGAGGUCUCAAUCUGGUCAAGGUCAAGUUAUUGAUUCCAGCAUGGUAGAGGGGUCUGCUUAUGUAGGUAAGUUAAUAUUUUAAAGCAGGCUGUCUACAGAAGGACGAGAAGGUAGAAGUGUUUUUAGUAUGUGCCAAUGUGUGCCAUAAACAAAGCUGAUUGAUGAAGUCUAAAACACCCAAAUAUCUGUUACUUUGUUUUUCUUUUGCAGCAAAUUGGUUGUGGAAGUCACAUAAAUUGGAUAUUUGGGGAAAACCUCGAGGAGAAAAUGCAUUAGAUGGAGGUGCUCCAUUUUAUGAUACAUACGAAACAGCAGACAAAAAGUACAUGGCUGUUGGUUCACUAGAACCUCAGUUUUAUGUCAAAUUGAUACAAGGACUUGGACUGAAUCUUGAUGAAUAUCCUCAGAAUAUGACAGACUCUAACAAACUCAAGCAGAAGUUUACUGAAGUGUUCGCCUCUAAAACUCGGGAUGAGUGGACUGAAAUAUUCAAGGACACGGAUGCCUGCUGUACCCCAGUCUUAGAACCAGGGGAAGCCCCCCUUCACCCCCAUAAUGUGACAAAUAAAUCAUUUCUUCAGAGUACAGAUGGAGGAUUUGAACCGGGACCUGCACCCAGAUUGUCUCGCACGCCCGGCGUGGACAGAGUUUUGGAAGCACCGAGACUUGGGCAGCACACCGUGGAAAUUCUUAAAGAAUUAGGUUUCUCAGGGGAGACAAUACAGAAACACAUUGAUUCUGAAGUUGUCCUUCAAAGACAGAAUACAGCUAAAUUAUAAAGUGCCAAAAAUCCCGAUUAUUCUUGAGGUCGUGAUUUUUAACAAAAGAGAAUUUCCAACAUUAGCUCAUGAUAGAUGUUAACUAAUGAUUGCAGCUUCCAUCUGUAUAUGUUUGAUUCUGUUUGUAUGGGGCAUUUCUGCAUCUCUAUUCAAGAUUUGUCAAUAAACCGGGUAAUCCUUAUUAGUUACUGGUACUUCUUUAAAAAAACAAAAAAAACAUAUAUUUAGUGUGAUAACCAUAUACUGUACUAUAAGUAAUCCAUUGAUUGUCUUUGAAUCAUAUGUGCUGUGUUUUUAUGUAUGAUUGUGACAAUACAGACAUUUCAUAUUAAUUUUGUGAUGUUGUCCUUCAAAGAUAGAACACUGCUUCGUUAAAAAAGGCCAGCAAUUCGAAUUUAUUCUAUAGAUUAUGAUUAUUAAUACACAAUUCUGUUAUGAUUUUAUAUGAUUACAACUUCCAUUUCUUAUGUUGAUUCUGUGUUAGAAAUUUAUAAAAAUAUCUACAUUGUAUUCAUUUGUUGUCAAUAAUCACUAAAUAUCAUAAUGUAUGAUAAUAAAACAUUAUAAAUGUAUAGUGAGAAAAAAUUACAUUUACUGUGAUAACAUACUACAUGUACAAUACAUUGACGUUCAUCCUUAAUUAUAUUAUUUUGUCUUCUGAUAUUGCCAAUUAAUUUGCCAUGUAUCAUUACAAAUCAUUACUACUACAUUAAAGGUACUUGCAUAUCAAUUGAGGAUACCAACUCAAGUUGACUUGUUGAUUAAAUAAACACCUGUGAUUAU
rnacentral:misc_RNA from 1 species